GAGACCCCUAUCCGUAAUUGCUAACUGCCCAGAGAUGGGUAGAGGCUAGUUACAGAGACUGCCGCUGCUAAAGCGGAGGAAGGAAGGGGCCACGGCAGGUCAGUAUGCCCCGAAACUCCUGGGCCACACGCGGGCUGCAAUGGUAGGGACAAUAGGUUCCGACCUCGAAAGAGGAAGGCAAUCCCCAAACCCUACCCCAGUUGUGAUCGAGGAUUGAAACCCGUCCUCGUGAAUAUGGAAUCCCUAGUAACCGCGUGUCAUCACCGCGCGGGGAAUAC
rnacentral:rRNA from 1 species